rnacentral:lncRNA from 1 species
CAGGGAACUUCAUGCAAGUUUCAAAAGGAAUUGCCAGCUUUAUAACAACACAACUGUACACAAAAAUCACUAAACAAACAAAGCACGUCCAAAUAAUUUUAGUUUAGUCACUCUACUUUUGUAUGCCCAGAAAAGGCGGAUUUGGCCACCUCCAGAAAACUUGCAAUGAAACUGUCAAUGAUCAUGAUGCACCAAUAACUGCACGCCCACAAUAAUUUUAGUUUAGUCACUCUACUUUCAAAUGAAAUGAAAGAAGAAAGCAAAAUGCAAAAACAUCAUAACCCUUUGGACAGACCCAUAACUAUAUGGACUGCAGUUAUUUGCAAAACAUUAACUACAAAAAUAUUCUUGAGUUACCUUAGAUUAAGGGCAAACAUAGAAUAGCAGUAAGCAAGAAGCAACAAUUAGUAUGAAGAAAACGAUAACUGUCAAUUCAUCAUCCAAAAAUGUCUGCACAAACUAAAUCUGGCACUUCUAAGUGCCAGAAGCAAAUUCUCACGCCACACAGGGUCAAAUAAUGCACAUCGGAUUUAGUUCCACAGGGUCACCUAGGAGAGGAACUUGGAUGGGUUCUUGGAGCUAACCUGGAGUAGAUCUUGAAGCUUGGACGGAGGUGGUGGCGGUCACAAGGCCGACGACGAAGAUGAGGAAGAAGCCGGUGAGGGGCGAGCACGGCGGCGGCGGCGGCGGGCGAGCACGGGCAGGGACGGGGACGCGGAGGAGGGGUGCCUGGGUGACGAUGCGCAACGCAGAGGGGGAUG